rnacentral:rRNA from 1 species
ACUGCUCAGUAACACGUGAUCAACUUACCCUAUGGAGAAAGAUAACCUCGGGAAACUGAGGAUAAUAUUUCAUAAUUGAAGAUGCCUGGAAGGGUUUUUCAAUAAAAGAGCAAUUAAAAUGGUGAUUGUAUCGCCAUAGGAUAGGAUCGCGCCCGAUUAUGGCUGUUGGUGAGGUAACGGCUCACCAAACCUAUUAUCGGUAAGGGCCGUGAGAGCGGGAGCCCUGAGAUGGGUACUGAGACAAUGACCCAGGUCUUACGAGACGCAGCAGGCGCGAAACCUUCACAAUGCACGAAAGUGUGAUGAGGUUACCCGGAGUGCUACAAAGUAGCUGUGGUAGGUGAGUAGGAUUCCCUACUAGAAAGGAGAGGGCAAGGCUGAUGCCAGCCGCCGCGGUAAAACCAGCUCUUCAAGUGGUCGGGACUUUUAUUGGGCUUAAAGUGUCCGUAGCCUGUUUAGUUAGUUCCUGGUUAAAUCAGAUAGCUUAACUGUCUGUUUGCUAAGAAUACUACUAUACUAGGGGGCGGGAGAGGUCUGAGGUACUCCGGGGGUAGCGGUGAAAUGCUUUAAUCCUCGGGGGACCACCAGUGGCGAAGGCGUCAGACUGGAACGCGCCCGACGGUGAGGGACGAAAGCCAGGGGAGCGAACCGGAUUAGAUACCCGGGUAGUCCUGGCUGUAAACGAUGCGUGCUAGGUGUUGGUAUGGCUAUGAGCCGUAUCAGUGCCGUAGGGAAACCGUUAAGCGCGCCGCCUGGGGAGUACGGUCGCAAGACUGAAACUUAAAGGAAUUGGCGGGGGAGCACCACAAGGGGUGAAGCCUGCGGUUCAAUUGGAUUCAACGCCGGG